rnacentral:rRNA from 1 species
AUUGAACGCUGGCGGCAGGCCUAACACAUGCAAGUCGAACGAGUGGCGGACGGGUGAGUAAUGUCUGGGAAACUGCCCGAUGGAGGGGGAUAACUACUGGAAACGGUAGCUAAUACCGCAUACCCUCGGAUGUGCCCAGAUGGGAUUAGCUAGUAGGUGGGGUAAAGGCUCACCUAGGCGACGAUCCCUAGCUGGUCUGAGAGGAUGACCAGCCACACGGGAACGUAGACACGGUCCAGACUCCUACGGGAGGCAGCAGUGGGGAAUAUUGCACAAUGGGCGCAAGCCUGAUGCAGCCAUGCCGCGUGUAUGAAGAAGGCCUUCGGGUUGUAAAGUACUUUCAGCGGGGAGGCGUUACCCGCAGAAGAAGCACCGGCUAACUCCGUGCCAGCAGCCGCGGUAAUUC